AGAACAUUCACUAGCCCCUUGAAAUAGCUUGAAAUAGAAGGCAUCUUGACAUCCAGAGAAAUGACUGAGUGGCAGGGAAGUCUCCUGAGCCUGCACUUGAGUGGGAGUGGUUGGUGUUUCGUUACAGCUCUGCCUGUAAGUUUGGUUGCAUAUAAAGGAUUCAGUCUCCAGGCGUUUGAGUUACAUGAAGCCCAUCCUAACUGACUGAAUUUUUCUCCUUCACUGAAGCACUGGAAUAAAGAGCUCGGCCAGUGACUUUGCACAUGGUGAUCUGGGUUUGCUACCUAUACACCCAUGGAGGAGCCUAGACCUUCUGAAGCUGAACCAGGGUUAAAAUCUGAAAGUCUCACAAGUUGGUCUCACAAAGCCUCAAUAUAGCAGCCCAUAAAACCAAUGUUUUUCAGAGCUUGGUUUACACACCACUUACAUCGGCAUCACUGUAGGUACCUGUUUAAAAUGUUAUUUCCUGGUGCCCACCGCAUACCCAAAGAACCAGAAUUUGUUGGUG
ensembl:lncRNA